rnacentral:rRNA from 1 species
AACGAUGAACCACUUCGGUGGGGAUUAGUGGCGAACGGGUGAGUAACACGUGGGCAAUCUGCCCUGCACUCUGGGACAAGCCCUGGAAACGGGGUCUAAUACCGGAUACGACGCGCUCAGGCAUCUGAUGCGCGUGGAAAGCUCCGGCGGUGCAGGAUGAGCCCGCGGCCUAUCAGCUUGUUGGUGAGGUAACGGCUCACCAAGGCGACGACGGGUAGCCGGCCUGAGAGGGCGACCGGCCACACUGGGACUGAGACACGGCCCAGACUCCUACGGGAGGCAGCAGUGGGGAAUAUUGCACAAUGGGCGAAAGCCUGAUGCAGCGACGCCGCGUGAGGGAUGACGGCCUUCGGGUUGUAAACCUCUUUCAGCAGGGAAGAAGCGAAAGUGACGGUACCUGCAGAAGAAGCGCCGGCUAACUACGUGCCAGCAGCCGCGGUAAUACGUAGGGCGCGAGCGUUGUCCGGAAUUAUUGGGCGUAAAGAGCUCGUAGGCGGCUUGUCGCGUCGGUUGUGAAAGCCCGGGGCUUAACCCCGGGUCUGCAGUCGAUACGGGCAGGCUAGAGUUCGGUAGGGGAGAUCGGAAUUCCUGGUGUAGCGGUGAAAUGCGCAGAUAUCAGGAGGAACACCGGUGGCGAAGGCGGAUCUCUGGGCCGAUACUGACGCUGAGGAGCGAAAGCGUGGGGAGCGAACAGGAUUAGAUACCCUGGUAGUCCACGCCGUAAACGGUGGGCAC